rnacentral:rRNA from 1 species
GGGGGAGUGCGGCUUGCUACACAUGCAGUCGAACGAAGCAUGCCGGAGGAAGUUUUCGGAUGGAAUCCGGGAUCCCUUAAUGGCGGACGGGUGAGUAACGCGUGGGUAACCUGCCCUGUACUGGGGGACAACAGUUAGAAAUGACUGCUAAUACCGCAUAAGCGCACAGGACCGCAUGGUCCAGUGUGAAAAACUCCGGUGGUACAGGAUGGACCCGCGUCUGAUUAGGUAGUUGGCGGGGUAACGGCCCACCAAGCCGACGAUCAGUAGCCGACCUGAGAGGGUGACCGGCCACAUUGGGACUGAGACACGGCCCAAACUCCUACGGGAGGCAGCAGUGGAGAAUAUUGCACAAUGGGGGGAACCCUGAUGCAGCGACGCCGCGUGAGUGAAGAAGUAUUUCGGUAUGUAAAGCUCUAUCAGCAGGGAAGAAAAUGACGGUACCUGACUAAGAAGCCCCGGCUAACUACGUGCCAGCAGCCGCGGUAAUACGUAGGGGGCAAGCGUUAUCCGGAUUUACUGGGUGUAAAGGGAGCGUAGACGGCAGAGCAAGUCUGAAGUGAAAGCCCGCGGCCCAACUGCGGGACUGCUUUGGAAACUGCCCGGCUAGAGUGCUGGAGAGGUAAGCGGAAUUCCUAGUGUAGCAGUGAAAUGCGUAGAUAUUAGGAGGAACACCGGUGGCGAAGGCGGCUUACUGGACUGUAACUGACGUUGAGGCUCGAAAGCGUGGGGAGCAAACAGGAUUAGAUA